rnacentral:rRNA from 1 species
UUCCCUACGGGACGCAGCAGUGGGGAAUAUUGGGCAAUGGAGGAAACUCUUACCCAGCAAUGCCGCGUGAAUGAAGAAGGUCUUCGGAUUGUAAAGUUCUUUAAUUGGGGACGAAAAAAAUGACGGUACCCAAGGAAUAAGCCCCGGCUAACUACGUGCCAGCAGCCGCGGUAAUACGUAGGGGGCAAGCGUUGUUCGGAAUGACUGGGCGUAAAGGGUGCGCAGGCGGUCCUGCAAGUCUGGAGUGAAACGCAUGAGCUCAACUCAUGCAUGGCUUUGGAAACUGGAGGACUGGAGAGCAGGAG